rnacentral:lncRNA from 1 species
CCCCGCGCCGCCGCCCCCAACCCCUAGGCUGAGCCGGAGGGAGGGACCCAGAAGGGAGGGAGGCGGAAGGGAGGCCAAAAAGGAGGGGGCCACGUGAAAGAGGCCGGCCGACCGAGACCGAGGGAGACUGAGCGGAGCGCACGCCCUGGAAGGAGAGAGCCGGAGAGUUCGGGAGGCAAGACCCCCAGAGACGAGAGUCGGAGGGAUCAAACGACACAGCGCCUCCCAGACGGGAUUGUGAAAUGGCUCCGCGUGCGAACGGGUCCAGGAGCCGUUCGUUGUACAGAGGAGGAAGCUAAGUCUGGAAGGAGCACUCGAGCAGGCUCAGCGGCCAGCAGCCAGCGGCAGGGGGAUCGUGCAUCGCUUGGAGGGCGCUGGGCUCUCCUCCAUCCGCCUCAGCCGUGGGCAGUUUGUUUCCGCUCCCACUUGCAGCGGGUCUGCAUCUUAAUUGGCAAAACGAAGUUGGGGCCGCGGUGGAGCGGAGGCUUCUUCCAGAACGGUCAGCUCACCUCCGGAUGCGGUCGUCCGAGCAGCCGCCUGCGGGGGGUCCCACGCCCUCUAUCUAACAGGUUGACGUCCAGCCCCUAGGGGCCCAGGCGGCCCCGGGCCGCCCCACCUCGCGGCCUUCUGCUCCCCGCGCAGCCUUGCGCGCCCAGCCACCCAGCACACGGUCCGUCCCUGGGGACGCGUCGCGAGCGCCGGGAAUGGAGCUCGUUUCCUCUUUUCUUUUUUCUUCUUCUUCUUUUUUUUUUUUAAACCUUUGGUUCUGAUUGUCCUUGGCCCAGCAGGCUGUUGGUGGCGUUGGUGGUGCUGCUGGGACUGGGGCACCGGCCUUGGCCGCAGGUGUGCUGUGCCCGACAGAGGCCGCCUGGACCGCGCCCGGAACGCCCUGUCCGGGUGGGCUGCGGCGUUCGCCCUGCUUUUGCCCCGAGCCGAGACUGGCAACAUCUUUUCUAGCUUCAAAACAGAAAAUUUUGGAAUUAUAAAAUUACCCCCUCCCCACGCUUACAGGUCAUUAUCUCCUGGAGACCACCAACUCGCUUUCUCUUUGGAGAAGCCAGUCUCUGUGACCCUUUCUUUCAUGAAAAUUUCGAACUCAAAUGUGGGCAUUCGUUUUGAGUCAUUUCAAAGCCCUAGAAGCUCGGGGUCAAAUUGUGUUUCGGGUGACAGCGCCUUUAGACACAUCCCCCUCUCUUUCCAAGCUCCCCCUCUUGGAGCAAUUUACAAAUUUGUUCCUUUGGAAUUCGCUACUUUAUUUUUGUUUUGUAAGUUUUGUUGUUGAUUUUUUUAAUGUUUAAUUUUCUAUGGAAGUGUUAGUUUAAAUACAUCCAACAGCCCAGCGUGGUGGCAAGCGCCUGUAGUCCCAGCUUCUAGGCAGGUUGAGGUAGGGGGAUUCCUUGAGCCCAACAGUUCGAGGCUGCAGUGAACAAUGAUUGCCCCACUGCACAAGCCUGGGCAACAGAUCCAGACCCCGUCUCUUAACCAAAAUAAUAAAUAAAAAUAAAAGACAGAUCCUUAGAUAGGAAAUAAAUAACUCGCUCCUGUGACCCGGAGAUGACCCGGUUCUUAGUGGUCCAGGAACCUGAGGCGAUGCUCCUGGACUCGCGGAGCCGCCAGCCCGCCGCUCCCAGCCCUCCAGGCCCUGGACGGGUCCCGCCUCCAUUUCACACCCACCGCUCGCCAGCCCCGGCGGCUCCCGCAGAGACCUUGCAUCCGAGUCCAGUUACGCGAACCAGCGGCGCCUGAGGCCACACCCAGAGCCAGGAAGUAGCCGUCUGGGUGCCGGGGCUCUGUGGGCACGGCCGCGCUGCUGGGCGCGGACUGCAAGGCCGGGCGGGGAUGGUGUUUGCGACCCGCACAGGCGCUCUCCCCCCGGCGAGUGUGGACCCUUCGAGAAUGCUCCCUUGGCCCAGGACUGAUCCCCACGAGCAUACAGCUUCGGCCUUCCGAGGAGAGUCAGGGUCGGUGCGGACCGACUCCGCAGGCCCUCCCUUGCCCCAUCUGGGCUGGUGCCAGGCCGCAGCUCGAGACCUGGUUUCCACCCCGGGCUCCCACAGAGCCCAUGAAGCGCUGGUCACAGCCCCUGGAAGCUGCAGACCCGGCUUUUCGAGGAGCCUCCCCGACGUGCAGAGCCUGAGACCCCAGAGAGCGGCCGGCUCGUGCGGGCCAGAACGCGGCGAGGCGCCCGCGGAAACGACUCGGCUUUUCUUUCUUUUCCCCUUUUCUUUCUUUAUUUGCUUUUUUUUUUCCUCUCUUCCCUUCUUCCACCCAUUUCCCCCUCCUCUUUCUUUUGUUUUUUUUUAGUCCUCCCCCCACCCCUCUUCUUUCUUUUGUUGCUCGUUCACUCUCGCUCUUGUCUCCUCUUCUGCUCCCGCUCCCCCCACUUUCUGUUCCUUUUCAUCAGAAGGACGGCCAAGCCACAGUCCCGUCCUCCUAAUAAGAGAAGAGGCCUUCAUGCUCGCGGUGUGCCCACCAGGUGCCAGACGCUCUGCAGAUUUAAUACGUUUAAUAGGCACAGAGCUCUUGGAGGGUUCUAUAGCCUGUGUAGGGGGUGGGGAAUUCUUUCCAGCUUGGGCAGCCUGGGGAGCUAGGCCUGGGAUUGGGGAAGGGGUCUGGGCCCUGGCCCCUUAGCCAGGUGAGGUGGACCACAGCAUCUCCUCCAGAAUGUCUCCUGGUGGCAGGGAGGCCAGGCCAGAUCACAUUGGCCUGCCCACAUUCCAGCAGGGACUCACACUUGCAUCUGUCCUUCCUGACACAGGACUCUACUGUGGCUACCAGUCCUGUCUUCACCUGCCACCUCCCCCCUCCACCACCUUGCCAGGACUGGAAGGGAGAGGGGGCUGGGUACUGCCUCCUCCAGCUGCACCUCCCACUGGGUGCUGCUCGGGAGGGGAUGGAACAGGGGGCAUGGUGCUUCUUUUACAGGCAAGAGUUCUGGGGUCUAGGUGGGGAAAAGGAGGCUACAGCCACACCACCCCUCAGAUGCCAGGCAGGAUCAGCCUCUGGUACCCUGGCUCCAGGCCAGCCCUCCUGCCUCCUGCUGGUUUGAACUGACUGAAGAUGACACACGAAGAGGAUGGGACAGGAGCUGGUGCCACCUCCACAGGCACUGGGCUUCCCUGGGCCCCCUCUCCCAUGUCACAUCUGUACUUUCUGCCUUGUUCCUGCCUCUUGGUGCCAGGAAUGGGCUUACAAGCCCAGUUCCCAAAUGGCCAAAUUCCACAUAUUUGCAGAUUGGCAAAGCACACAGGGGACCUCGAGAUGAGCUGGACCCCUGGUUUGCAGACCUCUUCCUGCUACUGCCCUUGAGCAAGCCCAUUUCCUGUCCAAGCCUCAGUUUUCCCAAAUGAGAAAACAAGAGGGGGUUUUUAGGUGAAUCUUUCUCCUUGCUAGUGUUAACAGCUUAGGUCAUGGAUUGAAAAACUUGUUCUGUAAAGGGCCAUAUAAGCAAAUGUUUUAGACUUUGCAGGCCACAUGGCCCUAUUGUGGUGACUCAGCCCUGUCUUUGUAGUGUGAAAGUAGCCCUAGAUAAUGCAUAAAUGAGUGGGUAUGGCUGUGUUCCAACCAACUUUAUUUAUAGAUAUGAAAACCUGAAUUAUAUCUAAUUUUCACAUCGCAAAAUAUGAUUCUUAUUUUUUUUUCAACCACUUAAAUAUGUAAAAACCAUUCUCAGUUUGCUGGCCAAACAAAAACAGGCAAUGGGCCACAGUUUGCCAAUUCUUGUGCAGUUUCAAUUAUUCUGAUAGCACAAAUAUUGCACUUCCAUAUCAGACAUGUUGCCUUAUGUUAACAUUUUUUUCUUUUAAAUUCUUUUCUCCAGGAAAGCAUCUAUUAAUUUAACAGUAUUUGGGACUUAGGAACACAGAAUCACCUGACUCAUUUCCUACACCCAUUUCUGAGUUCUCAACAAUUUAAAUGUUUCCCUUAUUAAUACUAUACCCAGACACCGGAUUGCACAACGUACAAUCACCCUCUCAAUCCUUGCAACAGCCUUUGGAGUAGAAAUAGUUUACCCUGCCUUCCAGCUCCUUGCACACCCCUGGAGACAGGGCGCUCACUCCCUUCAGUGGCUGCCUAACGAACUGCUGAGAGCCCAGUGACGUAGGCUUGACGCCCCUUAAGGGCGAAGGCCACCCCCGGCGACAGUGCUUCUUCCCAACCAGCCAUUCCCAACCCCUGGCAAUUCCAUCUAAAUCCUCUCCAGCUGUUGAAAUGUGGAUGGACAGGGGGCGGUGGCUCUGAUUUUCUGGGAGUUUCCCAAGCCUUGAGCCUUUGCAGCUGCCAAGUGACAAAUCUUGCAGGGACUAGGCAAAGGGAAAGAAUAUGACAGAAAAAAUAGAGAUUAUAAAUGUGUUGCUUGCUAGAAGUGUUUCCAGGAAAUCUUGCUCACAGGGAGGCCUUAUCGCCCCGCCCCCGCAUCUUCCUUGGUUCUUGCGCCCUCUGCUGGUCAUAUUGAGUCUUAACCAUGCUCACUCGGAACCGUUCCACUUAUAAAGGAAAACAAGACUGCAUGAUCUCACUUGUAUGUGGAAUCUAAAAAAGUUGACAUCAUAGAAAUAGAGUGAAAUGGUGGUUAUUAGGGCCGGGAUGUGAGGGAGAAAUGAGAAGAUGUCGGUCAAAGGGUACAAACUUUGAGUUAUAAGAUAAAUUCUGGGGAUCUACGUACAGCAUGGUGACUAUAGUUAACAAUCACGUAUUGUGUGCUUGAAGUGUGCCGAAAGGGUCGGUUUUCAGUGUUCUCACCAAAAUGGUAACUAUGUAAG